UACGUAGGGUGCGAGCGUUGUCCGGAUUUAUUGGGCGUAAAGAGCUCGUAGGCGGCUCGGUAAGUCGGAUGUGAAACCUCCAGGCUCAACCUGGAGACGCCAUCUGAUACUGCCGUGGCUUGAGUCCGGUAGAGGAGCAGGGAAUUCCUGGUGUAGCGGUGAAAUGCGCAGAUAUCAGGAGGAACACCAGCGGCGAAGGCGCUGCUCUGGGCCGGUACUGACGCUGAGGAGCGAAAGCGUGGGGAGCGAACAGG
rnacentral:rRNA from 1 species